rnacentral:lncRNA from 1 species
GUGACUCGAAGAAGCCUUCCAAAAAGCGUGUGAAAAGGGAGCCCUCCUCUACUACCAAGGUGACUUCAGGGAGCACAUUCAAUGAGAAUACAAGAAGAUAUGCUGUGCACACCAACCAGUGUCGGAGACCUCAUGGCUCCCCGGUAAAGAAGAAGAGGUACCCACAAGAAGAUGACUUCCAUCAUACAGUCUUCAGCAACCUUGAAAGAUUGGACAAGCUUCAGCCCACUCUUGAAGCCUCUGAGGAGUCUCUAGUUCACAAGGACAGAGGAGAUGGAGAGAGGCCAGUCAACGCGAGGGUGGUGCAGGUGGCCCCUCUGAGGUGUGAAUCUAGAGCCAUUGACAUUGGGAGAAUGAUACGUACCCUGAAAUAACUCACUUCCUGAGGAAAAAGCGCCAUCUCCAGGGUACAGAAACCUGAUUCUGGGCUCCUUUUGGGAAGGAGGAUUUGGGGUCUGGUGAGAGCAAAUGAUUUGCAAGUUAAUAAACAAUGUCCAGAGAGGCUGUAGGGAUAUCUGUGAGCCCAGAGGAAACACCAGGGGAUCCUGUGCGAAGCACCCAUGGCUUCAGCUAGGGUGGGGAGGAGUGGGUGGGCCUCUCUCUAAUGACUUAUCCUGGUGUUUGUGUUUCUAAAGAUUUGAUUGGUGGAGAGCAUAUCUGAUGAUGGGGAUUUGUAGGUAGGUAACUACUUUCCAACGUAAGAUCCAAUUGGAGAGAGUUCCCAGGGGCCCUUCGGGGUAUCCAUGCUGCUUGGGAGGUUAAGGGAGGGGCAUGAAAUCAAAAACGAAACAGGAAAUAUGUGUCAUAUUGGAUUUGGUCUUUUCCGGGUUUAUUGGCAUAAUAGUUAGAACUGUCUCUCUGGGCUAUGAGGUGCUGUGUUAUUUAAAGGUGGUCUUUCCCAGAACACCUGGCCUUUUCUUUUCUGCCUCUGCCAAACAUCACAGCCUUUGGGUUGGAUUAGUCAGCACCCCUUGGGAUUGUGCAGAAGAGGUUUGGGGUUGCAUCGAGUGUCACCUGUGGUGAACAGAAUCUGAGGGACACAACUCUCUCACAGGCACUUCCUUCAACCUGGAGACAGAGUUCUCCUGGUGUGUGCCCAGGGGUGCAGGAGAAAUUGACAGUCUGCCUCUGAACUUUCAGGACUUUAAAAAGCACUCAUGUUUCCAUCCUCACUGUUGACUCCUGGCUUAAAGGGAGCUCCUGGGGUGAGUGAGGAGGCGGGAUCGGACCCUGGCAGUCCUAUCGGCAGCACCUGUGUUCCUCUGCACUGGGCCGUGGAUGACAAUUACAACACCUUUGCCACUCCCACGGUCCUGUGUGUUCCGGAUAUUUUAAAAUAAUGGCUAUAUAAGGUUGAGCACUUCAGGAUAUGCUGU